CAGCAGCCGCGGGAAUACGUAGGUGGCAAGCGUUGUCCGGAAUUAUUGGGCGUAAAGCGCGCGCAGGCGGAUCAGUCAGUCUGUCUUAAAAGUUCGGGGCUUAACCCCGUGAUGGGAUGGAAACUGCUGAUCUAGAGUAUCGGAGAGGAAAGUGGAAUUCCUAGUGUAGCGGUGAAAUGCGUAGAUAUUAGGAAGAACACCAGUGGCGAAGGCGACUUUCUGGACGAAAACUGACGCUGAGGCGCGAAAGCCAGGAGAGCGAACGGGAUUAGAUACCCCUGUAGUCCCUGUCUCUUAUACC
rnacentral:rRNA from 1 species